rnacentral:rRNA from 1 species
UAAGGAGGAGGCAAACGUUAUCCGGAAUUAUUGGGCGUAAAGCGUCCGUAGGUGGCCAUGCAAGUCUGCUGUCAAAGCAUGGAGCUUAACUCCAUAGAGGCAGUGGAAACUGAAUAGCUAGAGUUCGGUAGGGGUAGCGGGAAUUCCCAGUGUAGCGGUGAAAUGCGUAGAGAUUGGGAAGAACAUCGGUGGCGAAAGAGCGCUACUGGGCCGAAACUGACACUGAGGGACGAAAGCUAGGGGAGCGAAAGGG